GGUUAAGCGACUAAGCGUACACGGUGGAUGCCCUGGCAGUCAGAGGCGAUGAAGGACGUGCUAAUCUGCGAAAAGCGUCGGUAAGGUGAUAUGAACCGUUAUAACCGGCGAUGUCCGAAUGGGGAAACCCAGUGUGAUUCGUCACACUAUCGUUAACUGAAUACAUAGGUUAACGAGGCGAACCGGGGGAACUGAAACAUCUAAGUACCCCGAGGAAAAGAAAUCAACCGAGAUUCCCCCAGUAGCGGCGAGCGAACGGGGAGCAGCCCAGAGUCUGAAUCAGCUUGUGUGUUAGUGGAACGGUCUGGAAAGUCCGACGGUACAGGGUGAUAGUCCCGUACACCAAAAUGCACAGGCUGUGAACUCGAAGAGUAGGGCGGGACACGUGGUAUCCUGUCUGAAUAUGGGGGGACCAUCCUCCAAGGCUAAAUACUCCUGACUGACCGAUAGUGAACCAGUACCGUGAGGGAAAGGCGAAAAGAACCCCGGCGAGGGGAGUGAAAAAGAACCUGAAACCGUGUACGUACAAGCAGUGGGAGCACCUUCGGGUGUGACUGCGUACCUUUUGUAUAAUGGGUCAGCGACUUAUAUUCUGUAGCAAGGUUAACCGUAUAGGGGAGCCGCAGGGAAACCGAGUCUUAACUGGGCGUUAAGUUGCAGGGUAUAGACCCGAAACCCGGUGAUCUAGCCAUGGGCAGGUUGAAGGUUGGGUAACACUAACUGGAGGACCGAACCGACUAAUGUUGAAAAAUUAGCGGAUGACUUGUGGCUGGGGGUGAAAGGCCAAUCAAACCGGGAGAUAGCUGGUUCUCCCCGAAAGCUAUUUAGGUAGCGCCUCGUGAAUUCAUCUUCGGGGGUAGAGCACUGUUUCGGCUAGGGGGUCAUCCCGACUUACCAACCCGAUGCAAACUACGAAUACCGAAGAAUGUUAUCACGGGAGACACACGGCGGGUGCUAACGUCCGUCGUGAAGAGGGAAACAACCCAGACCGCCAGCUAAGGUCCCAAAGUCAUGGUUAAGUGGGAAACGAUGUGGGAAGGCACAGACAGCCAGGAUGUUGGCUUAGAAGCAGCCAUCAUUUAAAGAAAGCGUAAUAGCUCACUGGUCGAGUCGGCCUGCGCGGAAGAUGUAACGGGGCUAAACCAUGCACCGAAGCUGCGGCAGCGACACUAUGUGUUGUUGGGUAGGGGAGCGUUCUGUAAGCCUGCGAAGGUGUGCUGUGAGGCAUGCUGGAGGUAUCAGAAGUGCGAAUGCUGACAUAAGUAACGAUAAAGCGGGUGAAAAGCCCGCUCGCCGGAAGACCAAGGGUUCCUGUCCAACGUUAAUCGGGGCAGGGUGAGUCGACCCCUAAGGCGAGGCCGAAAGGCGUAGUCGAUGGGAAACAGGUUAAUAUUCCUGUACUUGGUGUUACUGCGAAGGGGGGACGGAGAAGGCUAUGUUAGCCGGGCGACGGUUGUCCCGGUUUAAGCAUGUAGGCUGGUUGUCCAGGCAAAUCCGGAUAAUCAAGGCUGAGGUGUGAUGACGAGGCACUACGGUGCUGAAGUAACAAAUGCCCUGCUUCCAGGAAAAGCCUCUAAGCAUCAGGUAACAUCAAAUCGUACCCCAAACCGACACAGGUGGUCAGGUAGAGAAUACCAAGGCGCUUGAGAGAACUCGGGUGAAGGAACUAGGCAAAAUGGUGCCGUAACUUCGGGAGAAGGCACGCUGGUGUGUAGGUGAAGCCCCUGCGGGUGGAGCUGAGACCAGUCGAAGAUACCAGCUGGCUGCAACUGUUUAUUAAAAACACAGCACUGUGCAAACACGAAAGUGGACGUAUACGGUGUGACGCCUGCCCGGUGCCGGAAGGUUAAUUGAUGGGGUUAUCCGUAAGGAGAAGCUCUUGAUCGAAGCCCCGGUAAACGGCGGCCGUAACUAUAACGGUCCUAAGGUAGCGAAAUUCCUUGUCGGGUAAGUUCCGACCUGCACGAAUGGCGUAAUGAUGGCCAGGCUGUCUCCACCCGAGACUCAGUGAAAUUGAACUCGCUGUGAAGAUGCAGUGUACCCGCGGCAAGACGGAAAGACCCCGUGAACCUUUACUAUAGCUUGACACUGAACAUUGAGCCUUGAUGUGUAGGAUAGGUGGGAGGCUUUGAAGCGUGGACGCCAGUCUGCGUGGAGCCAACCUUGAAAUACCACCCUUUAAUGUUUGAUGUUCUAACGUUGGCCCCUUAUCGGGGUUGCGGACAGUGUCUGGUGGGUAGUUUGACUGGGGCGGUCUCCUCCCAAAGCGUAACGGAGGAGCACGAAGGUUAGCUAAUCCUGGUCGGACAUCAGGAGGUUAGUGCAAUGGCAUAAGCUAGCUUGACUGCGAGCGUGACGGCGCGAGCAGGUGCGAAAGCAGGUCAUAGUGAUCCGGUGGUUCUGAAUGGAAGGGCCAUCGCUCAACGGAUAAAAGGUACUCCGGGGAUAACAGGCUGAUACCGCCCAAGAGUUCAUAUCGACGGCGGUGUUUGGCACCUCGAUGUCGGCUCAUCACAUCCUGGGGCUGAAGUAGGUCCCAAGGGUAUGGCUGUUCGCCAUUUAAAGUGGUACGCGAGCUGGGUUUAGAACGUCGUGAGACAGUUCGGUCCCUAUCUGCCGUGGGCGCUGGAGAAUUGAGGGGGGCUGCUCCUAGUACGAGAGGACCGGAGUGGACGCAUCACUGGUGUUCGGGUUGUCAUGCCAAUGGCACUGCCCGGUAGCUAAAUGCGGAAGAGAUAAGUGCUGAAAGCAUCUAAGCACGAAACUUGCCCCGAGAUGAGUUCUCCCUGAGACUUUAAGUCUCCUGAAGGAACGUUGAAGACGACGACGUUGAUAGGCCGGGUGUGUAAGCGCAGCGAUGCGUUGAGCUAACCGGUACUAAUGAACCGUGAGGCUUAACCUU
rfam:Klebsiella pneumoniae IS39, WGS project CBWT01000000 data, contig: c81